CCUACGGGAGGCAGCAGUAGGGAAUCUUCCACAAUGGACGAAAGUCUGAUGGAGCAACGCCGCGUGAGUGAAGAAGGGUUUCGGCUCGUAAAGCUCUGUUGGUAGUGAAGAAAGAUUGAGGUUGUACCUGGCCUUUAUUUGACGGUACUUACUUCGAAAGUCCCGGCUAACUACGUGCCAGCAGCCGCGGUACUACGUAGGUGGCAAGCGUUGUCCGGAUUUAAUGGGCGUAAAGCAAGUGCAGGCGGUUAAAUAAGUCUGAUGUGAAAGCCUUCGGCUCAACCUGAGAAUUGCAGCAGAAACUGGUGAACUGGAGUGCAGAAGAGGAGAGUGGAACUCCAUGUGUAGCGGUGGAAUGCGUAGAUAUAUGGAAGAACACCAGUGGCGAAGGCGGCUCUCUGGUCUGCAACUGACGCUGAGGCUCGAAAGCAUGGGUAGCGAACAGGAUUAGAUACCCGUGUAGUC
rnacentral:rRNA from 1 species